rnacentral:rRNA from 1 species
ACGGAGGGUGCGAGCGUUGUCCGGGAUCACUGGGCGUAAAGGGCGCGUAGGCGGCUACUUAAGCGUGUGGUGAAAGUCCGGGGCUCAACCCCGGAUCGGCCGUGCGAACUGAGUGGCUCGAGCACUGUAGAGGCAGGUGGAAUUCCGGGUGUAGCGGUGGAAUGCGUAGAGAUCCGGAAGAACACCGGUGGCGAAGGCGGCCUGCUGGGCAGUGGCUGACGCUGAUGCGCGAAAGCUGGGGGAGCAAACAGGA